CUGCCUACGGGGGGCAGCAGUGGGGAAUAUUGCACAAUGGGCGAAAGCCUGAUGCAGCAACGCCGCGUGAAGGAAGACGGUUUUCGGAUUGUAAACUUCUAUCAAUAGGGAAGAAAGAAAUGACGGUACCUAAAUAAGAAGCCCCGGCUAACUACGUGCCAGCAGCCGCGGUAAUACGUAGGGGGCAAGCGUUAUCCGGAUUUACUGGGUGUAAAGGGGGCGCAGACGGCAAUGCAAGCCAGGAGUGAAAGCCCGGGGCCCAACCCCGGGACUGCUCUUGGAACUGCAUGGCUGGAGUACAGGAG
rnacentral:rRNA from 1 species